rnacentral:lncRNA from 1 species
UUAUGCAGCAGGAUUCUUAACAUUAAAAUGAAGGGCAUUUCCUCCAUUAAUUUUCUGAAUUUUGUAUCCUACCUUUCUGUCUUCUGCCUUGGUGCUUCUUGGAGGGUCUGUACUGACAAUCUAACAGAGCUAGGAAAUGGUGACACCACUACUACCUUGCAAGCCACAUCCUGGGAUUGGUGAAGCCAUCUGAUUUGCCUUUUGCUGUCAUCUCUAGAAUAUACAAUGAGAAGUAAAAUCUAUUGUGCUUCAGUCACUAAAGUUUAAGCUCUUUGUUGUAGCAACUAAAUCUGCUUCUUAACAAAUACAAAUUUUCAGAUAUAAUUUGUCUUCUGUGAUACCUUGUUACUACUUCAUUCUAUGUCAUAACACGAAAUUAUUUUGACAUUAACUUACAUCUAAGGUACAGUUUAUGAGAAUAUCUUCUUCCUCAUUUCCUCCACUUCAACAGUCUAGUUUGUCUUGGCAUAUUAUUCCUAUGCCAAUUAAUUUCCAUAUUUCUCUUCUCAAACACAUAAACAAAAGAUAAGCAAAAUCUGGCUUAUUUUUACUUAUUCCAACAUUAAGUUUUAUUCUGUAUUUUCAUGUCCUUUUUAUACAGAUGGCUUCUGAUUUUUUAAAAACUUUUCUUAUACCAACAUUUAUUAGUUAUAAGUUGAUUCCAGUAUCAAGCUGUUUUAUUAUUUCUUCUUGUUUAAUUAUGCCCAAGCAAUCACAUUAAAAUACAAUGUUUUUAAUUACUUUUUGCCUUUAUAUUGCAAAUAAGUAUAUAUAAUUUCUUGGAAAUGUUGUGUUUACUUACAUUAUGUUAUCUAUGAAUUUUAUUUCAGGAUAAUAAAUUGAACAUU